CGGAAGAAAGCUUUGUCUGUCUGCUUCAGGGAAGAAAACUGUAAGAGAGAGGCCACCUACUUAGACAAAUUUACUUCUAAAAAUGAAAGCUGCUAUUUAUCUUAGAGUUUUAAUUUUAAAAUUUACCUUCAAAUUAAGUGGAUUUUUUUUUCACUGUAAUAUUUUGAAGAAACAACAUUGACAGAUCAGCCACAGUAUAUCCAUACAUGCAGACUAAGGCAGGUCAUAACUGAGAGUGGUUUUAGCCACAGAAACUUGGCAUCUGGGUGAAAUCCUACAUAUACAUUCCAACCUAAGCUUUUGAGUCUGCGGAGUUGACUGUUGGAAAAGCAAAUGUGUGUACACUGAAUGAGAGCUUUGUCUCCCUAGCCAGAUGGGAAGCAACGAGAAGACGCAAACCCUUGGCUUUAUUCACUCAGGCUGAAGCUCUACCCACAAAGUUUCCUCUCCAGUCUCCUCAGUCCCACCCCAGCGCACCGGGAAGAGAGGGUUCUGCCAUUUUCUACGCUUGUGCUGGGGCUCACACUGAAAUCACUGAUGGAAAUAGUGAAGAGUUCCCUGCUGUGUAGAAC
rnacentral:lncRNA from 1 species